UGGCUGGACAUGGGAGCCUGAACCCUUUAGGAACAGGUGCCUCCAGGUGACCACUAAGGACAGCAUGGAAGUGACCUGUACUUGGGGAGAACUGGACAUGGAAAUAAAAGAGUGGGACUACAUGUACAAGCCUGAAGUCCACACAAGUGGUGAUACCAAAGAAGAGAAUAAUGUAGCAAUUGUUAAGACCCUAAGCAUUGAGGAACUAG